rnacentral:rRNA from 2 species
GGGUUGUGAGGUUAAGCGACUAAGCGUACACGGUGGAUGCCCUGGCAGUCAGAGGCGAUGAAGGGCGUGCUAAUCUGCGAUAAGCGCCGGUAAGGUGAUAUGAACCGUUAUAACCGGCGAUACCCGAAUGGGGAAACCCAGUGUGAUUCGUCACACUAUCAUUAACUGAAUCCAUAGGUUAAUGAGGCGAACCGGGGGAACUGAAACAUCUAAGUACCCCGAGGAAAAGAAAUCAACCGAGAUUCCCCCAGUAGCGGCGAGCGAACGGGGAGGAGCCCAGAGCCUGAAUCAGCAUGUGUGUUAGUGGAAGCGUCUGGAAAGGCGCGCGAUACAGGGUGACAGCCCCGUACACAAAAGCGCAUGUGCUGUGAGCUCGAUGAGUAGGGCGGGACACGUGGUAUCCUGUCUGAAUAUGGGGGGACCAUCCUCCAAGGCUAAAUACUCCUGACUGACCGAUAGUGAACCAGUACCGUGAGGGAAAGGCGAAAAGAACCCCGGCGAGGGGAGUGAAAAAGAACCUGAAACCGUGUACGUACAAGCAGUGGGAGCCCCACCACCAAAGCAUUCUCUGGUGUUGAAGGCCCUGCAAAGCAGCAUCGCGGUGGCGGAGCGUCGUUUGCGACGCCCAACACACAAAACAAGCGGUGAAUGCUUUGGGGUGGGGUGACUGCGUACCUUUUGUAUAAUGGGUCAGCGACUUAUAUUCUGUAGCAAGGUUAACCGAAUAGGGGAGCCGGAGGGAAACCGAGUCUUAAUUGGGCGUUAAGUUGCAGGGUAUAGACCCGAAACCCGGUGAUCUAGCCAUGGGCAGGUUGAAGGUUGGGUAACACUAACUGGAGGACCGAACCGACUAAUGUUGAAAAAUUAGCGGAUGACCUGUGGCUGGGGGUGAAAGGCCAAUCAAACCGGGAGAUAGCUGGUUCUCCCCGAAAGCUAUUUAGGUAGCGCCUCGUGAAUUCAUCUCCGGGGGUAGAGCACUGUUUCGGCUAGGGGGCCAUCCCGGCUUACCAACCCGAUGCAAACUGCGAAUACCGGAGAAUGUUAUCACGGGAGACACACGGCGGGUGCUAACGUCCGUCGUGAAGAGGGAAACAACCCAGACCGCCAGCUAAGGUCCCAAAGUCAUGGUUAAGUGGGAAACGAUGUGGGAAGGCCCAGACAGCCAGGAUGUUGGCUUAGAAGCAGCCAUCAUUUAAAGAAAGCGUAAUAGCUCACUGGUCGAGUCGGCCUGCGCGGAAGAUGUAACGGGGCUAAACCAUGCACCGAAGCUGCGGCAGCGACGCUGAUGCGUUGUUGGGUAGGGGAGCGUUCUGUAAGCCUGCGAAGGUGACCUGUGAGGGUUGCUGGAGGUAUCAGAAGUGCGAAUGCUGACAUAAGUAACGAUAAAGCGGGUGAAAAGCCCGCUCGCCGGAAGACCAAGGGUUCCUGUCCAACGUUAAUCGGGGCAGGGUGAGUCGACCCCUAAGGCGAGGCCGAAAGGCGUAGUCGAUGGGAAACGGGUUAAUAUUCCCGUACUUGGUGUUACUGCGAAGGGGGGACGGAGAAGGCUAUGUUGGCCGGGCGACGGUUGUCCCGGUUUAAGCGUGUAGGUGUGUGUUCCAGGUAAAUCCGGUUCACUUUAACACUGAGGCGUGACGACGAGGCACUACGGUGCUGAAGCAACAAAUGCCCUGCUUCCAGGAAAAGCCUCUAAGCAUCAGGUAACAUCAAAUCGUACCCCAAACCGACACAGGUGGUCAGGUAGAGAAUACCAAGGCGCUUGAGAGAACUCGGGUGAAGGAACUAGGCAAAAUGGUGCCGUAACUUCGGGAGAAGGCACGCUGACACGUAGGUGAAGUGAUUUACUCAUGGAGCUGAAGUCAGUCGAAGAUACCAGCUGGCUGCAACUGUUUAUUAAAAACACAGCACUGUGCAAACACGAAAGUGGACGUAUACGGUGUGACGCCUGCCCGGUGCCGGAAGGUUAAUUGAUGGGGUCAGCGCAAGCGAAGCUCCUGAUCGAAGCCCCGGUAAACGGCGGCCGUAACUAUAACGGUCCUAAGGUAGCGAAAUUCCUUGUCGGGUAAGUUCCGACCUGCACGAAUGGCGUAAUGAUGGCCAGGCUGUCUCCACCCGAGACUCAGUGAAAUUGAACUCGCUGUGAAGAUGCAGUGUACCCGCGGCAAGACGGAAAGACCCCGUGAACCUUUACUAUAGCUUGACACUGAACAUUGAGCCUUGAUGUGUAGGAUAGGUGGGAGGCUUUGAAGUGUGGACGCCAGUCUGCAUGGAGCCGACCUUGAAAUACCACCCUUUAAUGUUUGAUGUUCUAACGUGGACCCGUAAUCCGGGUUGCGGACAGUGUCUGGUGGGUAGUUUGACUGGGGCGGUCUCCUCCUAAAGAGUAACGGAGGAGCACGAAGGUUGGCUAAUCCUGGUCGGACAUCAGGAGGUUAGUGCAAUGGCAUAAGCCAGCUUGACUGCGAGCGUGACGGCGCGAGCAGGUGCGAAAGCAGGUCAUAGUGAUCCGGUGGUUCUGAAUGGAAGGGCCAUCGCUCAACGGAUAAAAGGUACUCCGGGGAUAACAGGCUGAUACCGCCCAAGAGUUCAUAUCGACGGCGGUGUUUGGCACCUCGAUGUCGGCUCAUCACAUCCUGGGGCUGAAGUAGGUCCCAAGGGUAUGGCUGUUCGCCAUUUAAAGUGGUACGCGAGCUGGGUUUAGAACGUCGUGAGACAGUUCGGUCCCUAUCUGCCGUGGGCGCUGGAGAACUGAGGGGGGCUGCUCCUAGUACGAGAGGACCGGAGUGGACGCAUCACUGGUGUUCGGGUUGUCAUGCCAAUGGCACUGCCCGGUAGCUAAAUGCGGAAGAGAUAAGUGCUGAAAGCAUCUAAGCACGAAACUUGCCCCGAGAUGAGUUCUCCCUGAGACUUUAGGUCUCCUGAAGGAACGUUGAAGACGACGACGUUGAUAGGCCGGGUGUGUAAGCGCAGCGAUGCGUUGAGCUAACCGGUACUAAUGAACCGUGAGGCUUAACCUUACAACGCCGAAG